rnacentral:lncRNA from 1 species
GGAGGCUGAAGCAUGAUACUUGCUUGAACCCAGGAGGUGGAGGUUGCAGUGAGCCAAGAUCAUGCAGUGUGUCAAGUUAACUGAAGAGCUGGGCUCCAAGUCCUGACUGCUCUGGGCUGGACAGAGGGCAGGUGCCCACCAGGGAUGUCACCGAGGGGCUCGAGGCUUGGGGACAGCGAGGCCAGACCAGGGCGUAGAGACCUUUUGAUCCCGGGCUUAGCUUUCAGUGCUGGAAGGCAGUGCAGUGGGAGUUGGAGACGAUACUGAUGUCCCGCACCAGCCCACUCGAUUCCCCAGAGGGUCACAAGGCCAGGCCUGUAUUUAGUUAGUGGUAAUGAUCUCGUUAGGGGUGUGAAUGGGCCACCACCCAAGACAUUCAGUCCUGCCAGCAGGCCUCCCCCCGAGCCCUGCCUACCCUGUGUGGCCUUACACGGGACGUGAACUGUGAUUAACAGACUUCCAGUGCUUAAUAAUUUGCAAAACAGCAUUAAACAAGGGAAGUUGAGGACAAUUGGAAUGGGACAUUGGCCGGGCAGGAGGUGGUUGUCAACAGAGCUGAGACAAUCCCGCGAGCAGGGCCUUCACAAAGCUGGCAGGGUACAAUGUCACAGCUGGCUGCUGGCGGGGUGCCGGGCUGACAGCGCCUCCCCGUUCAUCCAGGUGGUGAGGCUGAGCCAGCCUUU